AGUACUGGAACCAGGCACCAGGAACCAGGCUGGUGGCUUUUUCCUUCACCUUCACUCCUUUUUACAGUUUCCACUCUUCUUUCUCACACUCAAGCCUUGUCAUCCAUGCUCAUAGAUUGUGACCAACUCUACUCAACUCUGGCCUUGUUCAAAAAGAUACAGAAAACUUACAGUGCUGCAGUGUAAUUGUUGACCCCAGAAUUCCGAGGAUUUACUCAAAGGUUCAACUGGGAAAGAAGGGAUGCCUUUGCCAUCUCAUCUGGGUUGAUACCUGCACUCAGAUUUCUGAAGCU
rnacentral:lncRNA from 1 species